rnacentral:rRNA from 1 species
ACUAAAUAGAUACCCGGGUAGUCCACGCUGUAAACGAUGAGUGCUAGAUGCCGGAUUUUUUCGGUGUCGCAGCUAAACGCAUUAAGCACUCCACCUGGGAAGUACGAUCGCAAGGUUGAAACUACAAAGGAAUUGACGGGGGCCCGGCACAAGCAGUGGAGCAUGUGGUUUAAUUCGAUGCAACGCGAAGAACCUUACCUAGGCUUGAAAAGCUUAUGACCGGCUGUGAAAGCAGCUUUCCCGCAAGGGCAUAAGUACAGGUGCUGCAUGGCUGUCGUCAGCUCGUGCCGUGAGGUGUUGGGUUAAGUCCCGCAACGAGCGCAACCCUUACCAUUAGUUGCCACCGGAGCAAUCCGAGCACUCUAAUGGAACUGCCUACGCAAGUAGUGAGGAAGGUGAGGAUGACGUCAAGUCCGCAUGGCCCUUACGCCUAGGGCUACACACGUGCUACAAUGGCCGCCACAACGGGCAGCAAAAUCGCGAGAUGGAGCGAAUCCCUAAAAAGCGG